rnacentral:rRNA from 1 species
AGGACGAACGCUGGCGGCGUGCUUAACACAUGCAAGUCGAGCGGUAAGGCCUUUCGGGGUACACGAGCGGCGAACGGGUGAGUAACACGUGGGUGAUCUGCCCUGCACUCUGGGAUAAGCCUGGGAAACUGGGUCUAAUACCGGAUAUGACCUGCUCUCGCAUGGGGGUGGUGGAAAGAUUUAUCGGUGCAGGGUGGGCCCGCGGCCUAUCAGCUUGUUGGUGGGGUAAUGGCCUACCAAGGCGACGACGGGUAGCCGACCUGAGAGGGUGACCGGCCACACUGGGACUGAGACACGGCCCAGACUCCUACGGGAGGCAGCAGUGGGGAAUAUGCACAAUGGGCAAAGCCUGAUGCAGCGACGCCGCGUGAGGAUGAAGGCCUUCGGGUUGUAAACCUCUUUCAGCAGGACGAAGCGCAAGUGACGGUACCUGCAGAAGAAGCACCGGCUAACUACGUGACUAGCAGCCGC